GACCUGGCUCCAGCUCUGUUGGAAUUUGUUUGCCCCUGGGAUGUCUACUGAAAAAUGUGAGGAACAGAACUUUCUACUCAUGGGGCAGGAGCCUGCACCAUGAUGGAGCCGAAGGCAAGCUAGGCCUUCUGAACAGGUCCAACCUAAAGGAGCCUGGAAGCAGCCAUUGGUCAUCUGAAGCUCUUCAUCUUGGGAUGGAACCACGUGGGAUUUGCCCUGUCUACACUGGCGCGUCUACUGGCAUUGUCAUUUUGCCGGUCUUGAUCAGAUGUCCAGAAGCUGUGCCUAUAAGUGUUCUGAAUUCUACGGGCUGCCUGCGAAAGGACCCUAAGCAAAAGACUCCAGCAAGCAUCUAAGGUGACCCUUGAGGCUGGCCUCUAGGGGCUUUGAGUGCUGUGUUUCUAAGCCAUUGGAAUGGGAGGGAGAGGUGACUGAAAGGACAGGGAGCUUGUGGAUCAUAGACAUCUGGCUACCACACCCUCAUCUCCAUCCUGUCUGAAAUCGCACCCCUGGGGCUGGCCUGAAGCACAGCCCAGACAAGCGGGGGUGUAAAGUGCUUCUCCCGGGACUCACCCGGCAUGUCCGUCCAUCCUGGGCUUGUUUUCUCUUCUCUGUGUUAAUUUUGCAGCAUACCUUUCAGCUUUGAGGAGAUAAAGCCAUGUUGACUUCACAAGCAAGUCUAAGAGACCAAAGAACUCUGGGUCUUGCUCCUGGUAAACUCUAGAGUCACGGCUUCCCCCUUGGAUCUGCUUUUUCUCCUGUCAAUAAAUGAAAAUAGAGACACAGUCUCAAAAAUAUACCUUAAGGGGGCUAGUAAGGUGGCUCAGCAAGUAGAGGUGCUUGCCAUAAAGUCCAGCAACCUGAGGUCAACCCCUAGGGCACACAUGGUGGAAAGAAGUAUGCAAACCAAUAGUGUCACGGCUCCAUAGUCUGGUCAAGGGGAAGGUUUUUAUUGUAGAUAUGAGAGAGAACAGCCAGAAGCAUCGGAAAGAGUCCAGAGCAGAGAGAGAAAGUAGACUGAACAUAGCCAGAAAACUGGACCAGGGCACAAGAGAAACAGGAGCACAGCAGAGAGAGAGAGAGAGAGAGAGAGAGAGAGAGAGAGAGAGAGAAACACAGACACAGAGAGAGACAGAGAGAGGCAGAGAGAGACAGAGAGAGACAGAGAGAGAGACAGAGAGAGACAGAGAGAGACUAUCACAGAAAUUAGCAGAGUUAUAAAGAGUAGCUGAGGGGAGCCUGUGAGCUGGAAAACUUUGGGUAGGAGAGGAGGCCAGAAGAGCUAGGAUGCAUGGACCUUCUAAGGACCUUCUAAGGAGUAACAGUACUUGUGAUACUGAAGGAUCCUGCAUGACUCUGUGAGAGCUCUGAGUGAAUAAAGUAGUAAAUAUGAACAUGUCACAUCUCGCUUUGCACAAUCUAGGUCAACAUUAAAAUGGAUAUUGAAUAUUUACCUAGCAGGUUAACAUUUACCAAGUGUCUUAUAUUUAAUGCCCCAGUUCAUAAUGAAAGCUUCCUGCAGGCUAGUGCUAGCCAGGCUCUAACUGGUUCCAAAGGAUUGGCAUCCUUGGUAUUGUUGCCCUUGGUUAGCCACUCCACACUGUAGGGCUGACCUGUGUAACCAAUAGACUCUGCAAGAAUGAGGGGUGCAGUCCCCAGGAUUAGACUGUCAUGGACAUCACAAUUCUCACCUCAUUCUGUCUUGGGUGACUCCCUCUGAGCAAGAUAGCUGAUGUCUGUGAGUACUUCAAGCUCCCUCGGAGAAGCCCACAUCGUGAUAACAGGCAAGAAUAGCUAGAAAGAAGAGCAUCCAGUCCCCCAGGGAGCCUUUGGAUACCUGCACUCACUGCCAAUCCCAUUUGGGCUUUUUGCUUGUUUUAUAUAAUGUCUUUAUUGAAAUAUAAUUCACAUGCCAUAUAAUUCAGCCACUUAAAAGGCACAGUUUGAUGGCAUUUUAGAACAGUUACAGAUACACGUAAGCCAUCAACACCUGUGCCCUUUAGCUGUCAGCUCCUCAUUUCCCCAACCUGCCUCACAAAGCAACCACCGAACAACUUCUAGAUUCAUCUCUGUCGAUUUGCCACUUAGAUAUAUUUGAAGAAGUGGAUUCUUUUAGACUAGUUUUUUUUUUCUUUUCAGUUUAUUUAUUAUUGUAUGUUUAUGUGCAUGAUUCAAGGAGGCAAAGACUUACAUGCCACGGUGUGAUUGGGAGUCAGAGGACAGCUUUAUCAGCCUUCACUCUCCCACUCUAGGUGGGUUCUGGGAAUGAAACCUGGGUCACUAGGCUUGCCUGGGAAACACCUUCACCCACUGAGUCUUUCCCCUGGGCCAGGGUGUAGUAGUUUCUGACUGACGGGUAUUUACCGUUAUGUUUGCAAAGUCAGUCUGGGUUAUAGCAUGUGUCAGAACCUCGUUUCCUUUCAUGGCUGAAUAGAAUUCUGUUCCCGUUGUUUAUACGUGUAUUUUGCUUGCCCAUUCAUGGACAUUGGGUUGCUUCCAACUUUGGGCUAUUGUGAACACUGUUACUAUAAACACUGAUAUACAGGU
ensembl:lincRNA Gm44275 predicted gene, 44275